rnacentral:rRNA from 1 species
UACGUAGGGCGCAAGCGUUGUCCGGAAUCAUUGGGCGUAAAGAGCUCGUAGGCGGUUUGUCGCGUUGUUCGUGAAAACUCACAGCUUAACUGUGGGCGUGCGGGCGAUACGGGCAGACUUGAGUACUGCAGGGGAGACUGGAAUUCCUGGUGUAGCGGUGGAAUGCGCAGAUAUCAGGAGGAACACCGGUGGCGAAGGCGGGUCUCUGGGCAGUAACUGACGCUGAGGAGCGAAAGCGUGGGGAGCGAACAGG